rnacentral:lncRNA from 10 species
GGCUUCUUCCCAGUCUGCACGGCUCGAGACGGCCGCUCAUCCCUGCUCCCCGUGUGUCCCUCGGUCCUCUCUGCAGCUCCCAGCCCUCAACUCCUUACCCCAGUUUGGGCAACCAGCUGCCCCGCUGUUUGGCCCAGGCCUGGGCCAUGACGGAUGGGUGGGCGCCCGGGGCCGCGAGAAGGGCGGAACGCUGUGCCCAGCCGGAGACUACGCUGGGUGGCGGCGGCAGCGCCGGGAGUCUGCAGUGCGCGAGGGAGAAGUGAGCGCACAGCGCCCAGCGAGCAGGUGCCUGCGGCGCGGAGAGCGCACACGCUAGCCAGCCCGCAGCGGCCUUGUCCUCCCUGUACCAUGUACGGCAACAUUGAUUUUGGGACACUUGGACCAACAAAAGAUAUUUUCUUCUCAGUCAUGCAUGCAAAUAUAUGGAAGAUCUUAGAAAAUUGUGGAAAGUGGGGCAUACUGAACAAAAUCACUGCCAUCAGAGAGAAUGAAGUGAUGCAAGAUCAGGAUGUGUCAGGAAGCCCAGGCGUGUGUCGCCACGUUGAUCUCUGUGUGAAAUAGGACGGACUCAGUACCUGCAGCUAGACAACGCUGGAGAAACUCCAAAGGACUGAGUGCCGCCCAGGCUUCAGGAGAGUAAGACAACAGACACUAUGCACUUUUCUAAUGUGGCCGGCACUCUGUGCUUGCAAUCACAUAUGUGCCACAGACAGGAUUUCUAGGAAAGUGACCACUGUUCCUGGAGGAUUUGCAUUGCUGGAGAAGUGCAUUCUAACAGUGGAAUUCAGGCGGCGAGAGUCGGUCAAUUCACCGUACCAUGUGGACUCCCCAGUGUGGAGCAGAAUCUGAGGACUGACUUGCUAAGAAUCUCUGGGCACCCUGGAUAGAACCUUCCCUUUGGCUCUGAGCAUGGUGGCUCACACCUGAGAUCCCAGCACUUCGGAAGGCCGAGGUGGGAGAAUUGCUUGAGGCCAGGAGUUCGAGACCAGCCUAGUUCCUGGAUGCAAACCUUGAGAAAUCAACUUGGAGAACGAGCUAAGUUUCCGUUGUCCAGAGCUCAGGUGCUGGGACAGGUGGCACCCAGAUCUUCCAGCCAUAUGUGGAGUCGCUGGUGGAGUCUUAUCUCUCUCUCCAGAGUGUGUCCCUGCAGUGGAGGCUGGCCUUUCAUCUCAGCACCAGGGUGCCCAGGGCCCAGUUGAUCCAGGAAGUUUGUUGAAUGAAUGAGUGAUUGGCACAUUCUGGGCAGGAGACUGUCUGGCCCAGAAGAAUGCCUGGUUUCCCUCAGGGCAGGGCACUCCCCUGUGCAGACAGGCGGGCAUGGAGCAGAAACAGCCAGGGUGGACGAGCUUUUCAGCAGCAUGAAGGCAACAGCCGAUUUGUUCACAGUCGAGAGUGAAGGAAUGAAUUUACGAGAACCUGCAUGAACUAUGUGAUCAUAGUGUUGGUGGUCAGACUGUGAGGCACAGGAAGAUGGAUCAGAGGGUCAAAGGGGCACCAUCUACAGCUCAUUUCCCCGUCCUCCAACCAAUGGGCCUGCCCCAGACCUGCUCCCCUGUCCCUGGGGAGGAGGAGGAUAUUCCAGACUCACGGACCUGAACCUCUCUGGGCAUAUGUCCAGUCUCUGUCCUGCAGAGAUGCCUUGGGCCUCCCAUUUCAACAGCAUCCUUCCCCUGAUGUGGGAAAGAAUUUCCUAAUCGCCCUCACCUCUGGCUUCAGGUCCAUGCAACACAAGCCCUGUUUCGGGCCUCCUGUGUUCAGGCUCCUGAGCACGGCUUCCCUUUUUGAAACCAGGGAGGCUGGUGUUGCCUGCAGAAGCAUCUUGUGAGUUGUGGGAGGGGCCACAUGGAAGGCCAGACAUGGGAGUGAAGUGUGAAGCACCAGCCUUCCUGACUUCCAGACCCAGGUCAGCCUCCCGCCUCUCCUCCUGCUGAAUCUUUCUGAUCCUGCGGUUUCUCCUCUCUGAAACGGGGAUGCUGAUGGUUCCAUAAUCAAAGUCCUGUGCUGAUUCAUUGCAAUGAUGACUGUUUAGCCCCAGCUGCAGGAAAAAAAACCGAACAGAACAAAACUAGACCGGGUAUGGUAGCUCACGCCUGUUAAGUCCAGCACUUUGGGAGGCUGAGGCAGGAGGAUCACUUGAGGCCAGGAGUUUGGGACCAGCCCGGGCAACAUAGCAAGACCCCUAUCUCUACAAACAACAACAAUAGCAGCAGCAAAAUCCCACUAAAAUAAUAAAAGGCUCACUGUAAGCAGAGAGUACUUCUCUGCCCUACUGACUUGCUCCUCCUACUGAGCAGGCCACGUGACUUGCUCCAACGAAUGGAAUGUGUGCAGAUAUGUAUGUCACAUCCAGCCAGAGGCUUUCAAUAUGAUUGAACCUGGACUCUUGCCCUCUUGCCUUGCACUUGGAGAAGAAUGUGCUCCAUUAUUGAUCGAGAGUGAAUUAUGACCCCUUCAGGAUGCUUCAGUAGAAAGUGGAAAUGCUGUCUCCCGAAUUUGCUGAACGAUGAUGUUCUGAGGAGACCUGCACUUGAGAACAAAAGUGACUACUCUUUUGUCCUAAUCUUAAAUCCCAUCACCUUGGCUGCAACUGCUGAGUGCUGGUAAUGAGUGUUGAGAGGCAAUCCGAGGAUGGUGAUUAGGUAUUAAGCCUGGGCAGGUAUUAACCGAGAGGUGUGUGGACCUUUCGCUCAGCACCACAAGAGCAGAUCUCUGCCAGCAAGCUUAUCUGGCCAUCAGCCAGGGACAGAGCUGCACUGUGGCAAAGUGAAAUGUGAUUUUAAUGAUUCUGAGCACAUGGUUUCUGCCUCCAGCAUGCUAGAUUUGUAGACUGGCAUUUUUUUUCCCUUGGGUAGAUUCCAGAUGUUGUAUAACUUGUGCCUUUCUAAGUUACAGCAUGGUAGAUGGGGACUUGUCUUUGUUAUGAGCAUGUACAAUGUGGGUCGCAGUUAAGCACUGUCAAAUAGCCUCCUAAAAGAUGAGUUUGUGUGGAAUAAAGCACU